rnacentral:rRNA from 1 species
GAUGAACGCUGGCGGCGUGCUUAACACAUGCAAGUCGAACGGGAUCCAAGGGGUGCUUGCACUUUUUGGUGAGAGUGGCGAACGGGUGAGUUACACGUGAGUAACCUGUCCUUUUCUUUGGGAUGAGCAUUCGAAAGGGUGUUUAAUACCUUAUGUUCUGUCUGCCUCGCAUGGGGUGGGUGGGAAAGGCUUUGGCCGGCUUUGGGUGGGCUCGCGGUCUUUCGGCUUGUUGGUGGGGUGAUGGCUUACCAAGGCUUUGAGGGGUAGCCGGCCUGAGAGGGUAGUCGGUCACAUGGGGACUCAGAUCCGGCCCAGACUCCUGCGGGGGGCAGCAGUGGGGGAUAUUGCACAAUGGGCGAAAGCCUGAUGCAGCGACGCCGCGUGGGGGAUGAAGUGCUUCGGGUUGUAAGCUGCUAUUGCUGUGAGCAAGGCAUGCCAGUGGGUGUGUGGAGUGUAGGGGUUGAUUAGCGCCGGCUAACUACGUG